UACGUAGGGUGCGAGCGUUAAUCGGAAUUACUGGGCGUAAAGCGUGCGCAGGCGGUUAUUUAAGUCAGUUGUGAAAUCUCCGGGCUUAACUCGGAAAGGUCAACUGAUACUGUGCGGCUAGAGUGCAGAAGGGGCAACUGGAAUUCUCGGUGUAGCGGUGAAAUGCGUAGAUAUCGAGAGGAACACCUGCGGCGAAGGCGGGUUGCUGGGCUGACACUGACGCUGAUGCGCGAAAGCCAGGGGAGCGAACGGG
rnacentral:rRNA from 1 species